GUGUUCACUUCAACAGCACAUAUACCAAAAUUGAACCCAUACAAAGAAGAUUAGCAUGGCCCCCAUGCAAGGAUGACACACAAAUUCAUGAAGCAUUCCAUACUAAA
ensembl:snRNA U6 U6 spliceosomal RNA